AGAAACUUAGGUUAAUAUAAACCAAGGGCCUUCAAAGCCCUAAAUAAGAGAACAAACUCCUAGUUUNUG
rnacentral:tRNA from 1 species